UACGGCGGGCGCGAGCGUUAAUCGGAAUUACUGGGCGUAAAGGGCGCGUAGGUGGUUUGGUAAGUCGGUUGUGAAAGCCCCGGGCUUAACCUGGGAAUUGCAUUCGAUACUGCCUGGCUAGAGUAUGGUAGAGGGAAGCGGAAUUCCGGGUGUAGCGGUGAAAUGCGUAGAUAUCCGGAGGAACACCAGUGGCGAAGGCGGCUUCCUGGACCAAUACUGACACUGAGGCGCGAAAGCGUGGGGAGCAAACAGG
rnacentral:rRNA from 1 species